rnacentral:misc_RNA from 1 species
CUGUUAACAUAUUAUGAGGGUGACGCGCCGUCUCUCCUUUUCUCGGUUCCGUGCUUUUCUGUUUUUGUGUAUGCUUCGCAGGAAUGGUGGACCGUGUGGCAGCUUGAUUUGUGUUUCCGAGCUUCGAUGGGUGCGGGGAAGGCGGCCGAGUGUUGGCCUGGUUGCACCUGAGCCGAUGGACGACACAAUGUAGGCAUUUAAGCAAUCAGCUCCUUUAUUUGUUCAUUCUAGUCCAAGUUAGUGCAGCAGCGCUCCGAAACGGGCAGGAUCCGUGGUCUAAAAAAAGAAGAAGAAAAAAAGAAAGUAGUAGGCUGAUAGUCGGUGAUGGCUGCGUCCGUCCAGCAGAACGGCAGCGUACCUGUUGCCUCGUCCUGUUUGCCCGAAAUAGAGCAGAUCAUCCGGAAGCUCGAGCACGGGACCUCACUGAUCAAAUUCUACCAGAAGGGAAGGCCCGAAAAGCGAACCUUUGCGAUCAAGCUCGAGACGAGACAAGUCAUCUGGUGGCGGCCUGUCACAGGUAGAACCGUCGAAGAAGGAGCGGUCGACCUACGCGAAGUGAAGGAAGUUCGGCUGGGCCGCAAUUCCAAGAUUUUCGACCGAUGGCCAGAGGACGCCAGGAAGUGGGACCCGGCCCAGUGCUUCGUAAUUUUUUAUGGGAACACCUUCCGUCUCAAGACUCUUUCUUGUGUUGCUACUUCAGCCAAGGACUGCGAACAAUGGAUCCGUGGGAUCCGGUACCUGACGUCCGACACAGUGACAGCACCUUACCCCCUCCAAGUAGAGCGCUGGCUUCGCAAGGAAUUUUACAGCAUGCAAAAUCCCCGCAAUGUGAUAACUCUAAAAGAUCUCAAAGCAUUCUUCCCAAGAGUCAACUGCAAGCUUUCGACGAACAAACUGAAAGAAUACUUUCAGGAGGUCGACUCCAAACGUGCUGGUGAAAUCGGCUUUGAAGGAUUCGCGUCCCUCUAUCAUAACCUCAUGUAUGAUAAUAAGCUGUUUGCUGACUACUUCAAGCCUUUCUCGCAGGAGGAUGCGAAGGUUACUCCGCAAGCCUUCGAGAGGUUUCUUUCGCAGGAGCAGAAGGAACCUGCGUUGGAAGACGAGCAGUCAAUGAGCAAGUUCAUGCGUGACUACCUUCAAGAUCCUCUUCGGGAUGCCCAAGAGCCUUACUUCACUGUUCCUGAGUUCCUGGACUUUCUGUUCUCGAAACAAAACGAAAUAUGGGACAGCAAGCAUAACCAGGUGAACCAAGACAUGACGCAGCCCCUAACGCAUUACUGGGUGGCAUCUUCACACAACACGUACCUCACUGGGGAUCAGGUGAAGAGUGAAUCGUCUACGGAAGCUUAUGCCAGGUGUCUUUCCAUGAGCUGCCGGUGUAUUGAGCUCGACUGUUGGGAUGGACCUGAUGGAAUGCCCUACGUGUACCAUGGUCACACACUGACAACCAAGAUUAGGUUCAUUGAUGUCAUCAAGGCUAUCAAGGAGCACGCCUUUGUCGUGUCAGAGUAUCCUGUCAUCUUGUCAAUUGAAAACCACUGCACCUUGCCACAACAAAGGAAAAUGGCUAACUUGUUUCAAGAGGUAUUUGGAGAAAUGCUUUUGACACAACCUAUUGAACGAGACGGCACUAGGAUGCCAUCACCGGAGCAACUGAAACGAAAGAUUAUCAUCAAGCAUAAGAAGCUCCCAGAGGGAACAGAUGAAAAGGUGAUCGUCACCAGGAGUGAUGAAGGAGGUCAGGAGACCGAUGUCAGCAAUGCUGUCAAAAAUGGAAUCCUCUUCCUUGAAGAUCCGGUCGACAAAGAGUGGCGGGCCCACUUCUUCAUGCUGACUCAGAACCGGAUGUACUAUGCGGAGGAGCAACAAGCCCAGGAUGAAGAGGACGAGGGCGAAGGUGACGGCACUGGGCUACAGCAGCAGCGUGAGGGCGUGCCGAAUGAGGAGCUUCACUUCGGGGAGAAGUGGUUCCAUGGAAAGUUGGCCGGGGGCAGACUCAAGGCCCAAGAACUGCUGCAGCAGCACUCUCACCUCGGGGAUGGCACCUUCCUGGUGCGGGAGAGUGACACCUUUGUGGGCGACUACUCCCUUUCGUUUUGGCGCCAGGGCAAAGUGAAUCACUGCCGGAUCAAGUCGAAACAGGAGCGGGGUCAGACCAAGUACUACCUAAUUGACACUGUGGCUUUUGACACACUGUACAAUCUGAUCAGUCACUACCAGACACAUCCACUACGCAGCCAGGAGUUCUACAUGUACCUCAACGAACCAGUACCUCAGCCUAACAAGCACGAGGGCAAGGAGUGGUAUCAUGCUAACAUGACGAGAACCCAAUCGGAAGAGCUCCUCAAGCGGGUGAAAUAUGAUGGCACCUUCUUGGUGCGUCCGAGCGAAAAAGAAGACAGCUGCUUUGCCAUAUCCUUCAGGGCCGAGAACAAGAUCAAGCACUGCCGCAUCAAGCAGGAGGGUCGCCUGUUCCUGAUUGGCACGGCCCAGUUUGAGAGCCUGGUUGAGCUGGUCAGCUAUUAUGAGAAGCAUCCUUUGUACCGCAAGGUCAAGCUCAAGUACCCCGUCAAUGAAGAUGUCAUCCGGCGCAUUGGAACCGAGCCCGAGGAGAGUCCCCCGCAUGCUGGGGGACCCGCGGGGACCUACAUGGACCCGGACAGCUUUUCGGGGGCCUCCCAGAUGACGGUGAAGGCCCUGUAUGACUAUCGGGCUCAACGAGAGGACGAACUGUCAUUCUGCAAGCACGCCAUCAUCACGCACGUGGUGCGCCAGGAUGGGGGCUGGUGGCGGGGCAACUACGGUGGCAAGCGCCACCACUGGUUCCCGGCCAACUUUGUCGAGGUCCUCGACACGCAGGAUGCCUCGGAGGAUGGGUCUGGGGAAGCGAUGCCACUAGGAACCCUGCAGAAGGGCAGCAUUGACAUUGCAGGCUGCACCGUCGACAUCCUGCAGAGCUGGCCGGGUCGAGGACGGGAAUGGGUGUUCCGCAUCGUGUCGCCCACGCAGCUGGUGCCCAUCGAGAUUGCAGCACUGUCCAGGGAAGAGAUGCACGACUGGGUCCUCAAGAUCCGGGAAACUGCCCAGUCGGCCAACGACAUGAUCCAGCAGAGAAGGGAAAUGGAACGGAGCUUGAGGCUUGCUAAGGAAUUAUCCAACCUCAUCAUCUACUGCAGAUCUGUGCAGUUCUGUCCCGAGAGAAUCGGGAAUUUCACGGAGAUGUCGUCGUUCCCAGAAACGAAGGUUGAGAAAUGGAUAAGUCCUCAGCAUUGCUCUUUCUUCCUCAAAUACCACCGACUUCAGUUCAGCCGUGUGUACCCCAAGGGCAGUCGCAUUGAUUCCUCCAACUAUGACCCUGUCCACCUGUGGAACUGUGGCUGCCAGAUGGUGGCUCUGAAUUACCAGACUCCAGAUCGACCAAUGCAGUUGAACCAAGGCAGGUUCCUGCAGAACGGAAGGUCUGGCUAUGUCCUCCGUCCUGAGUUCAUGCACGAAGAUGGCUAUGAUCCAUACGAUCGGACCAGCUUGAAGUCUGUGCACCCAGUCACACUGGCCAUCAAGGUGAUAGCUGCUCGCCAUCUCAUGAAGUCUGGGCGUGGGAUUGUUAGUCCUUUUGUGGAGAUUGAGAUUGUUGGAGCAGACUUUGACUGCAGCAAAUACAAGACGGGGACCAUUCCGGACAAUGGUCUGAACCCGAUCUGGAAUGAGGCAUUCAUGUUUGAUGUCUGCAAUCCCAGCGUGGCCCUUCUCCGUUUUGUUGUUCAGGACGAGGACAUGUUUGGUGACCCCAAUUUCCUCGGCCAGGUCACCUAUCCUGUGAGCUGCCUCAGGACUGGAUAUCGCAGUGUGCCACUCAAGAAUGAAUACAGUGAAGAACUGGAGCUUGCAUCUUUACUUAUUCAUCUGGAAGUGUAUGCUACGAGGGAGGAAGAUGAAGCGUACGUGUGCAUCCAGCGACUGCGGGAUGAAAGCCGGGAACUUGGGCGUGCGCUCGAGGAGAGCGAGCGUCGAGGCGACUUGCAGCAGGCCCAGGCCCUGCGCCAGCAGCUCUCAACCACUCAGGAACAGCUCCGCACAAAGCACGAGGAGCGCAGAAACAGCAAACAGUGGUGAAGAAGAAAGGGAACUAAAAACAUACAAAUGGGCCCCCUGGUGACAUUGCAACGGGUUGGAAUUGGAAAGAUCUCAGCCUGCUUGAUCUGCCAUGGGGAUCCUCGACAGCACAUUUCAACCCGACCGAUCAGCCGGAUGUGUGCCUCGGUUCAGACGACAGUCUUUGUGUAAUUUCGUCCAGUGUGAGUGUUGGUGUGGCAUUUUAUGGAUCAAUGCCUUUGAAAAGUUAGCUAUUUUUUGGUGCUCUUGCCAGCCACUCAGCACAGAUGUCUCGGCCUUUCUUUGUCUUGGUGUGUGUACAUAAUAUAUAUUUUUCCAAGAUAUCAACCUGAAGGACCCAGAAUCUGGUAGACGCUGACUUGCGGUUUCAAAGACCAAACCACGAGAUUGCAGAUAGAAUAAAUUGUUUGUGCCUGGGUUUUAGAAGUAGGCUGUGUAAUGUUUACACAGCCUACUCCUAAGGCCUUCUGUCGUGACACAGUUUUCAGAGACUGUGUCUUUCUAGUAGCACAAACGUUUCUUCCAGUUUCACCAGUCAUUCCCUUAAAUUUACCUAGGGGCUGUUUAACACAAUACAUUGCUGAUGGAACUGUGCAUUGUGAAAGGGCUUUUCCAUUCACUUCCCAUUUUUGAAGGAUCUUUUAUGCGGCCACUAUAAAGUAGAUGCACAGUGAUAUGUUUUCAUGCAACAAAAUUAGAAGCGUUACUAUGUUUGUUACGAGUCAUUUAAGGGCAGGGAAGCAAUGUUGUCAAAGUUCUACCAGGUGCUACUAAAACAAUGUAUAUAAAUCCACUUAAUAUUAGUAGUCCGAGAAGGCAUUUACAGCUUUAGCACACCUCACUACUUUAUUACCAGCACGCUUCAGGGAAUGAAAUCCGGGCAUUGUGGAAACAUUUCUGAACAUUUACAGCUUCAUCGAUAAAGUUUUAUUGGCAAAUUGUUUUGUAAUUUAAUAUUUUCAUUAAUGUGCAGCAUUAAGAUAUGAGAUUUCUUUCGCUAUUAUACUAUUACAUCUUUGGAACAUUAAUUGUUGUACUGAGUGUUGCACUGAAUGUCGGCCAAACUUUUCUUAAGAAAACUAUGCAUUGCAUAGAAAAACGAUUGGAGCCGUAUCAUUCAUUGUUGAGGAGCCAAUUUAGUGAGGUUUUAGGAUAAUCAAGUUUAUUAUUAAUUUCCCACCUUUUGAGUAACAUAAACAUGAUUCCAAUGAGAAAAUUGCCAACCAUCAUCAAAAACCACAAAAGCAGUAAAUUUUAGAGUGAUUUAGAAAAUAUGGGAAGCAUGGUGUUCCACAAAAAGUUACUGUUAAAUGGUGCAAUGCUGGCAGAGUGAAAAUUUAGAUAAGAAACGGAAACACUGCGGACGUUUAGAAUUUUGAUGCAUUCUUGAGACCCAGAAAAAUGAAGCACGUGCUCCAAAUCUUACUAAAAUUGAGACCUUGUGAUUUUUGAUGAUGCCCAGCGAAUUUUUAAUUGGGCUACAUGUUUAUUGAGACUAAUUAAGUAGUUAUGCAAAAUUAGUAGAAAAGCUUCAUUACCCUAAAUGCUAUAUACAGGGCAAUUAAUUCUAAUUCAAAGAUUAAAAAAACAAACACGAGGUGAGGGUUAGACGAGUUCUAUCUUCACUAUGUAUUUAUCAGGCUCGGCGGACAGUGGAUGAGGGUAUGAUCGUUGCGGUAAGUUGCCUAAUUAACUAAAAUCUGUUGUUUAACUUUUUAAAUAUUGGUUUUAGGUGUCAUUUUGGAAUUGCAGUAUUGAUGACAAUUAUUACUAGAGGCCAGACCAAUGAACUUUCACAUUUUUUUCGCUCAAUUUACAAAAUUGCAGUGGCUUAGCUCGGUUAUGCCAGGAUAUACGUAGCGUAAGCUUAGGUUCAAUUGGUUAUUCUUAGCUUUCCUGGUUGUCUAGGAUUAGCUUGAUUAUCAUGCUUACCGCUGCUUCCAUGAUGCACACACGGUAUACGCAUUAUGUGACUACUUCGGGAUCCGAUGACUCCGCUCUUCUUAUUGCGGAGGAGGCGCCGUGUAACCGAGCUUUCGGUUGCAUGUCAAAAGAUUCUCAGGUGGUCCAAAUUAAUCCUCAGUCCUCCGCUGGGGCGUGCCAUAUACCCGUUGUUGGUUUGGCCAGCUGUGCGCCGUGUUGUUAUGUAUCAAGCAACCAAGCUGCCGCCCAGAAUAACCGGACAGCGCGAGCCAUGAUCUCGAGCGGGUACAUGCGCGCGGCGCGUGCAUGGGGGACUGACCUAGGCGCCAUACCAGUCCUGUCUGUUCCGUCACUGCUCCUCGCGCAUGCGCAGCACAGCUCUCCAGGAGCCAUGCGAAACUGCUCAACCUCGGUCAGUGUAGCUUACGCUACAAAAUUGUGUUUUAAAAGGGCGUUGCAAGCCCUGCCCACGUUGCCAAUUGGAAGAGUGACAUAGUCGUUUCAGUUGCGUCGUCACGUGUGUCAUCAGCGCACCCACCAAGGGCGCGCUACCGAGAUUGUGACGGCAUGAUUGAAAUGACUAUGUCACUCUUCGAAGCGUCAAUGUGGGCAGAACUUGCGACAUCCUUUUAAAGCAUAAUUUUUAAAUCAAGCGGAAAAAAUGCGGAAGUUGAUGUAUUAAUAUAUAGGAAACUAUUACCUUUCUGCAUAUUGUAACUGCCGUCAAUACUCAAACUGCAACAUGACCCCUAAAACCCAUAAUUAAAGUUAAUUAAACGGCAACUCCGGUCAAUAUUUUAGAAUUUGGGAUUACGACUGUUUUCAGUUCAGUCAGUAUACCUAAAUCACAAGGUAUAUAUUUUUUUUUUCGAUAUUGUGCAUAGUUUUCAAAAUAUCACGGCUCAAGUUUGAUUUCGGGUGUCUACGGCAAAUCCGGAACUAUCUGCUCAAGGGGGAUGGCAACAGUGAUCAUCAGCUGUAUGGCCGCGACGUGACGUCGCCGUGGUGCAACGUAUGUGUUACAACGUACGGAAACAACUGCAGCACCACUGCGACGUGAUGUCGGGGUGCUGUGGUACACGUCGCCCAGUGUUGCUUGACUAAAAUUAACCCGCUUGCCAUCCACUAAAGAGCAGCUGGUCGCAACUUUAAAGAAGCCGGUUUUGGUGGAGUACACGGCUUCACUUUGACGCAAUGUUUCAACUGUAAUAGAUACAAGGUGUUCCAAAAAAAUUUUUUUACAGUGUUUAUUGAACCGCAAAAAAUAAACUAUGCACAGCCAACCGCUCAUUCUCUGCCCAAAUGUAAAGCUAGAGUUCCGAGCCAGAUGCCAAAGUUUCAGCGCAAACCGAUAUCUUAUUCAAAAGUUUUGUGAUUUCCUGAAAAUUUCAAUGGGAAAAUGGGGCCCAUUUUUGCCUGUUUUCGGUUUAUAGCGCCAUAGAGCUCCAUGUAUUUGAGAGCUCUGUCGGCCGCCAUUUUCUCAUCUAAAUUUGUAGAAAAUCACUUGUAACUUUUGAAUAAGAUAACGGUUAGUGCUGAAACUUUGACAACUGAUUUGGACCUCUAGCGCUAUAUUUGGGUGGGCAAUGAUCACUCGGCGAUGCAUAGUUUAUUUUAGCGGUGAAAAAAAAAAGCGGAUGAAUUUCUUUUUGGGACACCCCGUACAUGGUGAAAACGGAGCUCGUCCAAACUCUCACCUCAUAAUAAAAAAUAAAAAAAAAAAAAAAUCUGUUUGAAUUAAAAUUAAGCACUCUCUAUACCUCGGUAAAUAGGCUCCUUGACAGUGACUAAUACUGUAUCAAUCUGAUUUCUGUAUAAGGCAUAGUUUUUACACACAACUUUGGGCCAAUGUUCGGUGAAGCACCCUGUAUACAAUCGCAAACAAAUUCUGCAUUGGGUAGCAUGAUCUUGGCAAAGUUUUUAUUUAUUUGUGGCAUCUAUUGAUGCUCAUGCCUGUCUGUUAAUAGUGUCAUUUUGGUGAGUUUACACCAAGUAUUUAACUCUUUAUUGAAAGAAUGGAAAGGUGUUUGUCAUAGCUUCUGAUGCAGCACUGAAUUCCAACCAUAACAAAUGCUCUCAAUUUGCCUUGGACCUCUUUCAAUUCGUAAAUCUUUCAUGGGAACAUGUUUGUGUCCCAAGCAUGGAAAGGCAGACGUUGCCAAGAACCUUCGAUGAGCUUCAUCUGAGGGCAUGCUUUAGCCAACAGUUGAACCAUGAUUGUGGAAAGAGCAUAGUGAGCACUAAUUUUACUAAUUGCUCAGGAUGUAAUAAAUUCAAUGUGGUUUUGAGGUCAGGUCAUUUUAAGAAAUAUGUUUCAGCAUGACUUGUCUAAUGGCAGCACUCUAGUGGAUUGAAAAUAUGCGUGCUGCAAUACUUAGUGUCUCUGUGGAAAAACAUGUGCAGAGUUCUACUGACAAACUUUGGUUUUCUAGCCAAUUACUUCCGAAGUAUUACCAGAUUUGCUGACAUUGUGAACUUAGUGUCAUGCUGAUAACUGAGGAGACAGUCUUCCACUCAUGCCAAUUGUAACUAUAUGAUAGCUGGGUGCAAGCAAGGAUCAUGUGGUGGUCUGGGAGUCUCUUAUCGUAACAAAUUAUCUUAUCAUGAGCUCAAAUUAGAUUUGUUUGUCUUCGAGUUAUUAGUAUUAGCAGACUUAAUUUCAUGCAAACAGGAAUUAGCACUUUUUUUUUACUGAUUUCAGUUAUGCAGUAUUUAUUUUAAAAUCUACAUUGUGAUUAGAAAAAAAAAAACAGUUCAUAUUGUUGUGCCACCAUAUAGGUCACAAAAGUCAGUUAUACUAUUGUGGUGAGAACAAAAGUAAUGGAUGUAGAAUGCUGCCAGAGAGUAGUCACAAAAAAGGUGCAGCAUAGCACAGCUAUUUUGCACUGUCCGACAUGCAGCACAUAAUAUUAAACCAUAAGGGCGCCUUCAAGCAUCUUUGUAGUAUGCCUCGUAAUAUGUGAAAUAUGUUAUUUGUGUAAGUUAUAUUAGUGCUGAAUGUAAUGUGCAAUGAGAGUUACGUGCUCUAAGAUGUGCAUUUAAAAGAUGUGAUGUGUAGAGCAAGAUGGUAGAUGGGGCUUGCGUCAAAUGCGAGGUCAGUGCCACUCCAGAAUACUUACUGCCAGUGAUGGCAUUGCUCCUUUGCCAUAAGAUGUUCCACAAACUACUUUUUGUGUGUUGUAUAAACUUCGAUGUUUUAAAAUUAAGGCAUCCUAUGCAGGAACGGAAGCAGCUAAGUACAUAUAGCUUUUCCUUUAGUAUACUAUUGUUGAGGAGUGACGACUGUAACCUGGAUGUCUUAUUUUAAAGCUGGUCCUCUCUUGCCUUUAAGCACUGGUUGCAUUUGCCCAUGGGCAUGUUCUCUUUUGCAAUUUUUUUCACGGUUUGAUGCAGCAUUUUUGUUGUGCUGUACCUUCAACAUGCCUGUUUGCCUCUCAUACCAUCAUAUGCCAGUUUGAAAUGUAAAUGUUUCAUGUUGCCGUUUUUGUUAAAAAUAUUUAUUAGCACUCGUUAAGAGGAAGCAUGCCAUUUCAAAUUUUAGUCUGGUGUAAUAAAGUCACUGCAUUAUGCCUGA